rnacentral:rRNA from 1 species
GAUGAACGCUGGCGGCGUGCCUAAUACAUGCAAGUCGAGCGAACGGACGAGGAGCUUGCUUCUCUGAUGUUAGCGGCGGACGGGUGAGUAACACGUGGAUAACCUACCUAUAAGACUGGGAUAACUUCGGGAAACCGGAGCUAAUACCGGAUAAUAUUUUGAACCGCAUGGUUCAAAAGUGAAAGACGGUCUUGCUGUCACUUAUAGAUGGAUCCGCGCUGCAUUAGCUAGUUGGUAAGGUAACGGCUUACCAAGGCAACGAUGCAUAGCCGACCUGAGAGGGUGAUCGGCCACACUGGAACUGAGACACGGUCCAGACUCCCACGGGAGGCAGCAGUAGGGAAUCUUCCGCAAUGGGCGAAAGCCUGACGGAGCAACGCCGCGUGAGUGAUGAAGGUCUUCGGAUCGUAAAACUCUGUUAUUAGGGAAGAACAUAUGUGUAAGUAACUGUGCACAUCUUGACGGUACCUAAUCAGAAAGCCACGGCUAACUACGUG